UCUGGAAAAGCUUCUCCCUGUUUCACCAUCUCCUCUCAGUCUGAGUCCCAGGGACCCUGCACGGGUGUCUGCAGGGCAGGACGAGCCCUGAAAUCUAGUAGCUGGGAGGUUUGCAGCAGUUUCUAACCCUCCCUCCCCUGCUUCUUCCAGGAGGCAACAAAAAAGCAUCUGGCCCCUCUGGGAAAAGAGAGAGAAGCAGCCAAAGCAGAGGAGGAGCGGCAAAGCUAGGAGCUGCUGAAACAGACAGAAGCCGAGAGGCAGAAGAUUGUCUGGGAGUGGCAGGAGCUGCGAGGGUUUCUGGAGGAGCAGGAGCAGCGGCUGCUGUCCCAGCUGGAAGAGCUAGAGAGAAGCAUAGUCCAGAGAAGGGAUGAGGGCAUCUGCAGCCUGUCCUGGGAGAUUUCCCUGCCCAGCGAGAGGGGAGGAGAGAAGGGGCAGCAGCUGCUGAGCCAACCCCUGCAGAGUGCUGGGAGCACUGGGGGCAGGUAAGUCCUGGGCUCCAUUUCGCUCCCCUCAUGGGCCGUUAGGUUU